rnacentral:antisense_RNA from 1 species
CUUCAGGGAGCCCAGCCACAGCGGAUGCCCGGCGGGACGGCCCUGGCCGUAGGUGGCCAGCAGCGCCUGCGCCUC